GGCACAUGCAAAAAUCAGAAAGCAGCAAUCUGGUGAGAAAUCCUCUGUUUGGUCUUAAACUUCAGACUUAUAAAAUCUCUUAUUUAUUUAAUCAUCUCAUACUUUCAGGUAUAUCUACUAAAUCAUAAUGGUUGUUUUCAACUGGAAGACUAGAAGAAAGUCCACAGCGCAUAAGCCUUUUUUUGCCGGUUUCAAAGGAAAACAUCCAGCGGAACCUCUGCUGAAAAACAUUAAGGUGUUAAGAUGGGGAUUGCUUCAGCAGCUACUCAGAGGACAACAUGAAGGACUCACAUCUGUACAAAAAUGGAACUCUUCUGAUGGAGAAAGUAAUAUUUUUAAAGUUUUGUUUUUGGCCUUGAUUAGGUUAAAAUAGGUAGUUAAGUGUAAGAGCAACACUUCCUGCUCCAACUUGAAACAUACAUGAGAGAAAGUUUACUUUCUGUUUUCUGCUUACUUAUAGAAUGAAGUGGAGAACCUGUGUCUUCAUACGCCACCAUAUCUUCAUAUCUGCUUCCUAUUGUUUCUUCCAAAGUGUUUUCUACAAGGGAGAAACAGCAACACGGGAAAUCAUGUCGGUCCCCUGGAAAUGAAGCUCAUCUCUGUGAUCUCUCCACACAUUUCAGUGCAACUCAAUUCAAAAUACUUUUUUGAUUCCAAAGAGAAAUGAAGUAUUACAUUAAAUGAUAUAAUUUAUCAAUGUCUUAAUUCAUACCUCACUGCAUGAGAAUAAAUACAUGAAUUAAUACACAUAGGUAGUUUUUUUGUCCUGAAAUAAAUGUGCUGCAUCUGUUGACUGGCAGCUCAUCCCUGUGGCCCAUGGUGCAGUGCUGCAUCUCUGGUCAGUUGGUAGUCUGAGAUGAAGCACUGUAGCUCGGGACGGAGGACAGACAGAGCUGUUGAGGAAUGUCCAUAACAAGAAGGAAGCAUCUAUCAAGAUUGGCGGGACAUGACUAUGACAUGUUUCUCUAGAGAAGAAAGAAGAAAGUGAAUCUGGCAUCCAUGCAGUUAGAAAGGAUAUUCUGUCAACCAUUCUGUCAUUUGUUUCUGUUUUAUAUUGCUCCAGCUGAGUUCAUAAAAUAAGAAGUUAGCUUUUAUUUCUUUUUUUUUGCCUCAAAACUAGAAUUUUGAAUAGUCCCUUGUUUUUCCUUUACCCUUUUCUCUGGGGUCCAGUUUUCCCAGGAAUCCCUUCACUCAUGAGAAAGGGGGAUUCCUGGAAAUACUGAUCUUGGGGGCGAGGCUUCUCACCAUGUCCAAUAUGAAUAAUAGAAUAGAAGGAAUUAAUAUGUGUGUGCUCUUCAGUUGAACUCUGUAAAAAAAAAAAAGAGUUGACAGCUGUGAGAUAUUUUAAAAAAGACAAAGUUCCUCAAAGUUUGCUCCUCAUGUUUUACUUGCAAAUCAUUUCAAAUUGUACAUCUAAUCUAUUUGGUUGUCUGACAAAAUAAACAAAACUGUUCAAAUAA